rnacentral:rRNA from 1 species
GUAGGUGGCAAGCGUUAUCCGGAAUUAUUGGGCGUAAAGCGCGCGCAGGCGGUUUCUUAAGUCUGAUGUGAAAGCCCACGGCUCAACCGUGGAGGGUCAUUGGAAACUGGGGAACUUGAGUGCAGAAGAGAAAAGCGGAAUUCCACGUGUAGCGGUGAAAUGCGUAGAGAUGUGGAGGAACACCAGUGGCGAAGGCGGCUUUUUAGGUCUGUAACUGACGCUGAGGCGCGAAAGCGUGGGGAGCAAACAGGGAUUAGAUACCCUGGUAGUCCACGCCGUAAACGAUGAGUGCUAAGUGUUAGAGGGUUUCCGCCCCUCUAGUGCUGCAGCUAACGCAUUAAGCACUCCGCCUGGGAGUACGGUCGCAAGACUG